rnacentral:sRNA from 1 species
GUGCCAGCCGUGGAAACUGAAGCCUUCUAUUAAUCCAGCAACAAGUACAGCAUUGGCAGCAUCGAUGUGAGAUAACUCUACACCACCCAAUCAUUGUGUCUCAGCUCUGAACUGUGAAGAUCAUCUUAAAGGGAAAGAGGAUAGUUUAGUCUCCAGGACUCAUUCCAUGCAUGGCCCCU